rnacentral:rRNA from 1 species
GACGAACGCUGGCGGCGUGCCUAACACAUGCAAGUCGAACGGGACCAGGGGCAACUCUGGUCCAGUGGCGGACGGGUGCGUAACACGUGAGGAACAUGACCUUCGGCGGGGGAGUAGCCGGCCCAACGGCCGGGUAAUACCGCGUACGACCACAUGGGGACAUCCCUGAGUGGUGAAAGCAGCAAUGCGCCGAUGGAGUGCCUCGCGGCCUAUCAGCUAGUUGGUGAGGUAACGGCNCACCAAGGCGACGACGGGUAGCUGGUCUGAGAGGAUGGCCAGCCACAUUGGGACUGAGACACGGCCCAGACUCCGUACGGGAGGCAGCAGUGUGGAAUAUUGCGCAAUGGACGAAAGUCUGACGCAGCGACGCCGCGUGUGGGAUGACGGUCUUCGGAUUG